rnacentral:rRNA from 1 species
UACGUAGGUCCCGAGCGUUGUCCGGAUUUAUUGGGCGUAAAGCGAGCGCAGGUGGUUUAUUAAGUCUGGUGUAAAAGGCAGUGGCUCAACCAUUGUAUGCAUUGGAAACUGGUAGACUUGAGUGCAGGAAAGGAGAGUGGAAUUCCAUGUGUAACGGUGAAAUGCGUAGAUAUAUGGAGGAACACCGGUGGCGAAAGCGGCUCUCUGGCCUGUAACUGACACUGAGGCUCGAAAGCGUGGGGAGCAAACAGG